rnacentral:rRNA from 1 species
ACGGUUACCUUGUUACGACUUAGCCCCAGUCACCGGUUUUACCUUAGGGCGCUCCUUGCGGUUGCACACUUCAGGCACUCCCGGCUUCCAUGGCUUGACGGGCGGUGUGUACAAGGCCCGGGAACGUAUUCACCGCGCCGUGGCUGAUGCGCGAUUACUAGCGAAUCCAGCUUCAUGGAGUCGGGUUGCAGACUCCAAUCCGAACUGAGACAGGCUUUGAAGUUCCGCUCUGCGUCGCCGCAUCGCUUCUCUCUGUACCUGCCAUUGUAACACGUGUGUCGCCCCGGACGUAAGGGCCGUGCUGAUUUGACGUCAUCCCCGCCUUCCUCACAACUUGCGCCGGCAGUCUCGCCAGAGUCCCCAACUUUACUUGCUGGUAACUGGCGAUGGGGGUUGCGCUCGUUAUGGCACUUAAGCCGACACCUCACGGCACGAGCUGACGACAACCAUGCAGCACCUCGACGGAUGUCCCGUAGGACUGCCUCCUUUCAGAAACAUCCAUCCGUCGUUUGAGCCCGGGUAAGGUUCCUCGCGUAUCAUCGAAUUAAACCACAUGUUCCUCCGCUUGUGCGGGCCCCCGUCAAUUCCUUUGAGUUUCACCGUUGCCGGCGUACUCCCCAGGUGGAAUACUUAACGCUUUCGCUGUA